AUCCAACUGACGAGUCCCAAAGAGGACGAAACACGCGUCCUAAAU
rnacentral:hammerhead_ribozyme from 1 species